CUCUUGGCUCCUGAAGUGUGAGGAUACAGCCUCUUCAUUCUGGAAGACGGCGGAAGCCGUGGCGCUUUGUGGCAAGCUGAGAAACAUGACAGCCGAGGACACGGAAUUAAUGAAAGUCAUAAAGUUUUACCUCCACGACAUGUGCUCUUGAGAUCAUGAAGCUGUAGUCAACGACAAGCAGCGACUGACUGCAAGCAUGGGGCUGCCCUUCCUGAAAGCAGCGGGUCUUCUCCAGCCCGGGAAUCGACAUGCAGAGCGUGAGCUGCAGUCAACGGGAAGCCUGCACGACGGGAGAUAAGAAGACCCCACUUCAGAGACAGCUUUGAUCUAGAGGGAAGGGCAGGCACACGGGGCUGUGAGCUGCCAGAGCAGCCCCUGGGGACUCAGGACCAGGUCUCAGGAAUGAACAGGGAAGAACCAUCUGCGGUCACUGAGGACCCUGGUUUGUUUAU